rnacentral:lncRNA from 1 species
AACAAGCAAAGCAAGAGCAAUUUCAAAAGAACUCAAAGGAACUUAGGUACCUGAAAAAAUCUAACCCAAUCAGUAUGCAAUUCAAACAAUCAAACAGACAACAGUCAAUCAUAAUCAGACAGAUAAGCAAGCAACAAUGUGCAAGGCACAAGCCAAUAGGCACAACACAAACAACUUGGCAUCAACCUACAAAACAACAUAAGGUUAGCCAACAUCAACCAAUUAAUCAAUCCAAAUGAGUGAACCACUUCA